GGGGAAUAUUGGGCAAUGGACGCAAGUCUGACCCAGCAACGCCGCGUGAAGGAAGAAGGCUUUCGGGUUGUAAACUUCUUUUAAGGGGGAAGAGUAGAAGACGGUACCCCUUGAAUAAGCCCCGGCUAACUACGUGCCAGCAGCCGCGGUAAUACGUAGGGGGCGAGCGUUGUCCGGAAUUAUUGGGCGUAAAGGGUGCGUAGGCGGCUGAACAAGUCAGAUGUGAAAUCUGGGGGCUCAACCUCCAAACUGCAUUUGAAACUACUUUUCUUGAGUAUCGGAGAGGUAAUCGGAAUUCCUUGUGUAGCGGUGAAAUGCGUAGAUAUAAGGAAGAACACCAGUGGCGAAGGCGGAUUACUGGACGACAACUGACGGUGAGGCGCGAAAGCGUGGGGAGCAAACA
rnacentral:rRNA from 1 species